rnacentral:rRNA from 1 species
CCUACGGGAGGCAGCAGUGGGGAAUUUUGGACAAUGGGCGCAAGCCUGAUCCAGCCAUGCCGCGUGUGGGAAGAAGGCCUUCGGGUUGUAAACCACUUUUGUCAGGGAAGAAACGGUCUGAACUAAUACUUUGGACUAAUGACGGUACCUGAAGAAUAAGCACCGGCUAACUACGUGCCAGCAGCCGCGGUAAUACGUAGGGUGCAAGCGUUAAUCGGAAUUACUGGGCGUAAAGCGUGCGCAGGCGGCUUUGCAAGACAGAUGUGAAAUCCCCGGGCUCAACCUGGGAACUGCAUUUGUGACUGCAUGGCUAGAGUACGGUAGAGGGGGGAUGGAAUUCCGCGUGUAGCAGUGAAAUGCGUAGAUAUGCGGAGGAACACCGAUGGCGAAGGCAAUCCCCUGGACCUGUACUGACGCUCAUGCACGAAAGCGUGGGGAGCAAACAGGAUUAGAUACCCUGGUAGUCCACGCCCUAAACGAUGUCAACUGGUUGUUGGGAGGGUUUCUUCUCAGUAACGAAGCUAACGCGUGAAGUUGACCGCCUGGGGAGGACGGCGCGAGUAGAACGAGAAGAAGUAGAGNGNGAGACGNGCGAGACGACGACGAGGGAGGAGG